rnacentral:rRNA from 1 species
AUUGAACGCUGGCGGCAGGCCUAACACAUGCAAGUCGAGCGGAGCGGCGGACGGGCGAGUAAUGCCUAGGUAUCUGCCUGGUAGCGGGGGAUAACGUCCGGAAACGGGCGCUAAUACCGCAUCCUAUCAGAUGAGCCUAGGUCGGAUUAGCUAGUGGGUGGGGUAAAGGCCUACCAAGGCGACGAUCCGUACCUGGUCUGAGAGGAUGAUCAGUCACACUGGAACUGAGACACGGGCCAGACUCCUACGGGAGGCAGCAGUGGGGAAUAUUGGACAAUGGGCGAAAGCCUGAUCCAGCCAUGCCGCGGGUGUGAAGAAGGUCUUCGGAUUGUAAAGCACUUUAAGUUAGGAGGCGUUACCAACAGAAUAAGCACCGGCUAACUUCGUGCCAGCCGCCGCGGUAAUUC